UGGGGAAUUUUGGACAAUGGGCGAAAGCCUGAUCCAGCAAUGCCGCGUGUGUGAAGAAGGCCUUCGGGUUGUAAAGCACUUUGUCCGGAAAGAAAUCCUUGGCUCUAAUACAGUCGGGGGAUGACGGUACCGGAAGAAUAAGCACCGGCUAACUACGUGCCAGCAGCCGCGGUAAUACGUAGGGUGCAAGCGUUAAUCGGAAUUACUGGGCGUAAAGCGUGCGCAGGCGGUUUGCUAAGACCGAUGUGAAAUCCCCGGGCUCAACCUGGGAACUGCAUUGGUGACUGGCAGGCUAGAGUAUGGCAGAGGGGGGUAGAAUUCCACGUGUAGCAGUGAAAUGCGUAGAGAUGUGGAGGAAUACCGAUGGCGAAGGCAGCCCCCUGGGCCAAUACUGACGCUCAUGCACGAAAGCGUGGGGAGCAAAACAGGAUUAGAUACCCUGGUAGUCCACGCCCUAAACGAUGUCAACUAGUUGUUGGGGAUUCAUUUCCUUAGUAACGUAGCUAACGCGUGAAGUUGACCGCCUGGGGAGUACGGUCGCAAGAUUAAAACUCAAAUGAA
rnacentral:rRNA from 1 species